UACGUAGGGGGCUAGCGUUGUCCGGAAUCAUUGGGCGUAAAGAGCGUGUAGGCGGCCAGGUAGGUCCGCUGUGAAAACUCGAGGCUCAACCUCGAGAUGUCGGCGGAAACCAUCUGGCUAGAGUCCGGAAGAGGAGAGUGGAAUUCCUGGUGUAGCGGUGAAAUGCGCAGAUAUCAGGAAGAACACCCGUGGCGAAGGCGGCUCUGUGGGACGGUACUGACGCUGAGACGCGAAAGCGUGGGGAGCGAACAGG
rnacentral:rRNA from 1 species